rnacentral:rRNA from 1 species
AGUUACCAGCACGUUAUGGUGGGCACUCUAAGGAGACUGCCGGUGGACAACCGGAGGAAGGUGGGGAUGACGUCAAGUCAUCAUGGCCCUUACGGCCUGGGCUACACACGUGCUACAAUGGUCGGUACAAAGGGUUGCCAAGCCGCGAGGUGGAGCUAAUCCCAUAAAACCGAUCGUAGUCCGGAUCGCAGUCUGCAACUCGACUGCGUGAAGUCGGAAUCGCUAGUAAUCGUGAAUCAGAAUGUCACGGUGAAUACGUUCCCGGGCCUU